rnacentral:rRNA from 1 species
GACGAACGCUGGCGGCGUGCUUAACACAUGCAAGUCGAACGGAAAGGCCCUGCUUUUGUGGGGUGCUCGAGUGGCGAACGGGUGAGUAACACGUGAGUAACCUGCCCUUGACUUUGGGAUAACUUCAGGAAACUGGGGCUAAUACCGGAUAGGAGCUCCUGCUGCAUGGUGGGGGUUGGAAAGUUUCGGCGGUUGGGGAUGGACUCGCGGCUUAUCAGCUUGUUGGUGGGGUAGUGGCUUACCAAGGCUUUGACGGGUAGCCGACCUGAGAGGGUGAUCGGCCACACGGGAACGGAGACACGGUGCAGACUCCUACGGGAGGCAGGAGUAGGGAAUCUUCCGCAAUGGGCGGGAUCCUGACGGAGCAACGCCGCGUGGGUGAUGAAGGUCUUCGGAUCGUAAAACUCUGUUAUUAGGGAAGAACAAACGUGUAAGUAACUGUGCACGUCUUGACGGUACCUAAUCAGAAGGCCACGGCUAACUACGUG